rnacentral:rRNA from 1 species
CGCGUAGACGGUUUUGUAAGUCAGAUGUGAAAUCCCUGGGCUCAACCUGGGAACUGCAUUUGAAACUGCAUGGCUAGAGUAUGGAAGAGGGAAGUGGAAUUUCCGGUGUAGCGGUGAAAUGCGUAGAUAUCGGAAGGAACACCAGUGGCGAAAGCGACUUCCUGGUCCAAUACUGACGUUCAUGUGCGAAAGCGUGGGGAGCAAACAGGAUUAGAUACCCUGGUAGUCCACGCCAUAAACGAUGACAACUAGAUGUUGGGAGGGUCUGCCUCUCGGUGUCGCAGCUAACGCGUUAAGUUGUCCGGCCUGGGGAGUACGGCCGCAAGGUUAGA